rnacentral:rRNA from 1 species
UACGUAGGUGGCAAGCGUUGUCCGGAAUUACUGGGUGUAAAGCGCGUGUAGGCGGCAGACCAAGUCGGCGGUGAAAUCGCUCGGCUCAACUGGGCGGGGUCAGCGGAUACGGUGUGGCUGGAGCAAGCUAGGGGGCAAUGGAAUUCCCGGUGUAGUGGUGGAAUGCGUAGAUAUCGGGAGGAACACCAGUGGCGAAGGCGGUUGCCUGGAGCUUUGCUGACGCUGAUGCGCGAAAGCGUGGGGAGCGAUCCGG